CAUACGUCUGGACAGAGCAUGAAUGGUUUGUACGAAAUAAAUAACUGGUAGUUCACUCCAAUAGCAGGUGCAUUGCUCCAUUCCCUUUUCAAAAGUCGUUACACUGACCAAUUUUCCAUAUUAAGGCAUCAACUCGUAGAUGAAAGACGUAGGUGACGUUGGUUUAUACUUACAACUGCUACAGCUCCGCUGCCAAGAACUUCGUCGGGACUAAGAGUGGUGUAGAAAGCAACAUUGGCGAAAACGUAGACGAUUGUGACUAAAGCGCAGGAAAUGCCAAUAGCUCUGGGUAGAUUUCUGCAAGGUAAGAAAAAUGAUGCGCUGACCAAGGCUUGACGCUUGGCUCAAGUCAUCGGGAAGCAUUCCAGAGGUUUCCGAAACUCGACGUCAUAUCAGAUACGGCAUUAUUCAUGGU